AAAGGAAAAAAAAAGUGUCAUCUGGUAUCUGGGGUAUGUGCUUAGAAUGCAGAAUUCUGAUUUCAUUCCCAGAGACGCGAUUUUAGUAAGUCUGGCACGCAGCCCUGGAAUCAAUGUUUUUUAAACACCCUAGGUCUACACUGUGAGAAACACUUUCAUUUUCUUAUUCUUCAGGGCAGCGACGAGUCUCUGCAUUUCCGGGGCCUAGCACAGGGUGCAUGGCUGGCACUCAGUAAACGUUAGCUAAAUGUAUAGAUGAGUGAGUGAGUGGAUGAAUGUUUUUACUUUGGAUCUUUUUUUCAAUUAAGCAAGAAGUUUUCAGAGUAAUUCGGGUCCUAUUAGAAUUUUAAUAGAGUAUAGGCUCAAAUAACUUUCCUCCUUUCAAGGAUAUAACCUAAUUUGUGUCUGACAAGUAGAGAAGAUUGUAGAUUUCGUUUCCUUUUUUGCCUGUUGGAAACCGAACAUUUUUUCGUUUGUUUAAUUGUGUACCACAAAAUGUGGAAGAUUGAUGUCUCUGGAUAACAUUUAUUUGGCAGAAUAUCUUGACAUCGGAUGGCUUUUCCUCACCAGGCUCCAAAAUGUUAGGAAACAGAGAUGGGGCCCCAUUCAGAGCCUGAGCUCUGACACUGACUCCAGCCACUGAAAAUGAUGCCCAGAAAGAAUGGAAGGCAGUUCCCAAAUAAAUGAGAAGAGACAAGAAUAAAAAUAAUUUAAACUUAAAGUAAAACUCUAAACCAAGCCCAAGGCAUGGUGUGCAAAGCACCCAGCAUCAGCUACAUCCAGGAAGAGCAUCUAAGCCAGGACAGAACCUAGACAGAGUCUCACUUU
rnacentral:lncRNA from 1 species